CUUAGCCUGCUUUCAUAGCUCAGAUGGUUAGAGCACCCGUUUAGUAAGCGGGAGGUCUUGAGUUCGACUCUCAAUGAAAGCACUUUUUUAUCUUUUUUUUUCAGUCACAUGGAUUAUUGAUAUGUGAUGUUAUGAGUAGAAACUAGAAAGGCAAUUUUAAAUACCAUAUGCAGCAUUGCAGCCACAUUGUAGUAGUGUACCCUCCUUAUCUACUUCUUUUGGUUGGAAGUGAUAGUUUAUGAAAUUAAAAGGGAACAUUAGGACAUAUGUCAACUUGCUUUCAUAGCUCAGUUGGUUAGAGCACCCGUUUAGUAAGCGGGAGGUCUUGAGUUCGACUCUCAAUGAAAGCAAC
rnacentral:tRNA from 1 species